rnacentral:rRNA from 1 species
CGCUAUUUGGAGGCAUUGCCUGCCCAGUGACAACUGUUUAACGGCCGCGGUAUCCUGACCGUGCAAAGGUAGCAUAAUCAUUUGUUCUCUAAAUAAGGACUUGUAUGAAUGGCCGCACGAGGGUUUUACUGUCUCUUACUUCCAAUCAGUGAAAUUGACCUUCCCGUGAAGAGGCGGGAAUGCACAAAUAAGACGAGAAGACCCUAUGGAGCUUUAACUAACCAACCCAAAGAGAAUAGAUUUAACCAUUAAGGAAUAACAACAAUCUCCAUGAGUUGGUAGUUUCGGUUGGGGUGACCUCGGAGAAUAAAAAAUCCUCCGAGCGAUUUUAAAGACUAGACCCACAAGUCAAAUCACUCUAUCGCUCAUUGAUCCAAAAACUUGAUCAACGGAACAAGUUACCCUAGGGAUAACAGCGCAAUCCUAUUCAAGAGUCCAUAUCGACAAUAGGGUUUACGACCUCGAUGUUGGAUCAGGACAUCCUGAUGGUGCAACCGCUAUCAAAGGUUCGUUUGUUCAACGAUUAAAGUCCUACGUGAUCUGAUUCAGACCGGA